UGCUAGUUAUUCCGUUUACGACAGUUGAUACAGACGGUUUUGUGACACUUGUAUCUAUAUGUGUGUUUCUUACGUACAACUGUGGAAAGGCUUAAGCACAAACGCAAGAACAGCAGCCCAUCUGAAGAACGCCUUACGACUGUGGGCUAACAGACAUCAACGAGCAACUCAAAGAUUGGAACAUCAGAUUGAUCAACACAGUGGACCAACUUAAGGUUGGUCUCUACAACAAGUAGAGACUCUCUGCUGUUAGAGAGGGAGAGAGAGCUGUGCUAAGAUGGGCUUCACUGAAGUGACAGACAAGGAGCAGCUCUUGGGGUUAGCUGAAAGAAUUAAGCAAGAUUUCCCACAAUCAUGUUUGAUGUACAACAACCUGCUGUUCCGUGCUCGAGGGUUCUGCUCCACGGGAAGAUUCUACAUCAUUGAAGAUUCCCCAGACUCUUACGUCAUCCUAAAGCAGAGCAACG